rnacentral:rRNA from 1 species
UACGUAGGGACCAAGCGUUGUCCGGAAUCAUUGGGCGUAAAGAGCGUGUAGGCGGCUUGUUAAGUCUUGCGUGAAAUCUCGGGGCUCAACCCCGAGCGGUCGUGAGAAACUGGCAGGCUAGAGUGCGGGAGAGGAGAGUGGAAUUCCCGGUGUAGCGGUGAAAUGCGCAGAUAUCGGGAGGAACACCAAUUGCGAAGGCAGCUCGCUGGGACGUUACUGACGCUGAGACGCGAAAGCGUGGGGAGCGAACGGG